UGUAACUAUUUUUAAUUUGUUACAGAUUUGCUGGGGGGGGAGGGUGUCCCAAUAUAUUUUGUUCCAGGUCUAAAAAUUCAUAGCUGUAGCCCCAGACUGCAACACCGACCAGUGGACAGAAGGCUAGAGGCAUUUUAGCAUAAACAAAACAGUGGGAUGAAUCUUACCUGAGAAAGGGCCUUUUUACUCACUGGUUCUUCUUCCUCAGAAUCUGACUGUAAAAAAUAAAAGAUACAAGUACUCAACACAACCUUAUGACAAUCCGGUCGCUCAACGUUUACUCAAACUGAACACACCGCAGAAGUAACAGACGAUGGAACAUAACGAAGAAAACCUGCGCAAGUAACACUCACGUCUCCUCUCUGCAGUUCUGGAAUGGUAAUUUUCACCGGCUCGGUGCGCUUCUUCGGUUUCGGUAAAUUCAAAUGCAACCCACUCGAAAUCGGAGGGUGGGCGCCCUUUGGGUCCAAAUUCUGCCCGGGGUCCAUAUCUGACAUGAAAGACGCGGGUAUCUGAGGGCUACCGGACCUUUGAGAAGUGUCCCGUUUUGGAGGUGGCAGGUUUAACCCCAUGCUUGGUCCACUGUUUUUCAGACCCUCUGGUUCAGAAGCAGGCUUCUUCGGAGAAGGGAGGCUUACAAAAAGUCCCAAACUUUUCCCUCCUGUUUCGCAAAACUUCGGCGUGUCUUCGGAUUCGCUCUCAUCGCUGCUACCGUAUGCUACCAGAGACAUGGUGGAAUUUUGUGACAGUUAGCGAGCUAACAAUCGGGCAUUUACAUAUGGAAUUAACUUAUCUUACAAAAAAACCACUCCUCACGCGGAGCUACGUGCUAACGUUUGCUUGCUGUGGUACUUUCCUUUUGAGCUGUAGGUAGAGUCGUUAGCUAACUGUUAGAUGGCUGUCCAGCUAGGAAACUACUUGGAGUAUAAAACGGGCUACAAUUCUAUAUAAAAAUUAAAACCUAAAUUUUUAUUCUCCACUA